UACAGAGGGUGCAAGCGUUAAUCGGAAUUACUGGGCGUAAAGCGCACGUAGGUGGCGACGUAAGUCGGGUGUGAAAGCCCCGGGCUCAACCUGGGAAUUGCAUUCGAGACUGCAUUGCUGGAGUGCGGAAGAGGAGGGCGGAAUUCCCGGUGUAGCGGUGAAAUGCGUAGAUAUCGGGAGGAACAUCAGUGGCGAAGGCGGCCCUCUGGUCCAGUACUGACAAUCAAGUGCGAAGGAGUGGGGAGCAAACAGG
rnacentral:rRNA from 1 species